AGGCUGAGCCCUCUCUCAGGGACCCUCCUGCCCUGCUGCACCUCUCACCUGGCCUGCCCCAACCGGUUCUCCAGGCAAGCCCAAACCAGUUCCACCUGGUUUGUGACUGUACUUGCAGAGAGGGUCUUUGCCGAGUCUGCAGGUCGGAAGUCCCAACCAAGGUGCCGGCAGGGCUAGUUCCUUCCGGACCCUUCAGAGGAGAAUCUUCCUGCCUCUUUGGCUUCUUGAGGCCCCUUCCUGGCAGUGCUUCUUUCUCCACUGACUCCUACCAUCAGCGCUGAGUCCUGCCUGCUUCUUACAAGUUGCUUCUGGGAUGACUCCCGGCGCACCCAAUAAUCCAGUGUCAUCUCUCCAGAUCCAGAACUUCAGAGGCCACCUGGGAUGUCAGAAGCUUCUAGGAACUAGGAGGCGGCUGCUGAGUAGUCCAUGUUCAAACGAGGCAAACCAAGCUGUGACCAACGAGCCGUCUCUGCAGCUCACUUCCAUUUUCUGUCUAGAAACACUCCCUGCC